rnacentral:rRNA from 1 species
GACGAACGCUGGCGGCGUGCCUAAUACAUGCAAGUCGAGCGGACCAAAGGGAGCUUGCUCCUGGAGGUUAGCGGCGAACGGGUGAGUAACACGUGGGCAACCUGCCUGUAAGACUGGGAUAACAUCGAGAAAUCGGUGCUAAUACCGGAUAAUAAAAAGAACUGCAUGGUUCUUUUUGAAAGAUGGUUUCGGCUAUCACUUACAGAUGGGCCCGCGGCGCAUUAGCUAGUUGGUGAGGUAACGGCUCACCAAGGCAACGAUGCGUAGCCGACCUGAGAGGGUGAUCGGCCACACUGGGACUGAGACACGGCCCAGACUCCUACGGGAGGCAGCAGUAGGGAAUCUUCCGCAAUGGACGAAAGUCUGACGGAGCAACGCCGCGUGAGUGAUGAAGGUUUUCGGAUCGUAAAACUCUGUUGUUAGGGAAGAACAAGUGCCGUUCGAAAGGGCGGCACCUUGACGGUACCUAACGAGAAAGCCACGGCUAACUACGUGCCAGCAGCCGCGGUAAAGU